ensembl:miRNA aca-mir-5422 aca-mir-5422
CUGAAGGAACAUUGAGGAGGAAACCAAGGGUUGAUGCUAGCAUAAUCAAAUCAGCAUUGGUAUCCUCCUUCUUGUUCCUUUCC